CUGACUCCCAUCUCAGACAGUUGGUCCUGAGGGGUUCACCAAGUAGCCAGAAGAAGAAGAAGUGGGAGUACCAUUCCCAAUUCCACAAGGCUCUCAGGCAAGGAUCUGAGCCUGGUGGAAUUCACAUUCUCCUCUAAUUUAGAAAGACCUUUGUUGUCAUUUUGAGCUCUGUCCUGAAGGAAGCAAGAAAGAAAGAAAAGGGAAGAAGGAAAGGAAGAAAGAAAGAAAGAGCACAUGAAGUGCUCAGCACAGUGCCAGACAAUGAGUCCUUGUUGAAACAUGUGUUAAUAUGUUUAAAAUCAACCACAAGAACAAGAACACUGCAAAAUAAGGUGGGAAAAACUGAAGCCAACGGCAACUAUUUCCAAGGAAAUUAG
rnacentral:lncRNA from 1 species